GGCAGAACAUGUCAUUAAUUCCAUUCUUGUCAGAGAUAAAGCUCUCUCGCAUCUCCUCUUCUCACUUCCGGAUGUCAUUGAUAAGAUCAAGUUUAUCGUGGCACAAGUCACCGGCUUACAGCUGGAGGCUAAGAAUGGCGAUGAUCCCCUUGAUGCAAAGUCUUCCUACGAGCCAAUUGAGUUAACCUCAUCAUCAUUUGUUGAGGUAACAGUAGGUCAUGAGGAAGAUGAAGCCCGGAUCAUUGGCCAGCUCCUUGAUGAACAUGAAUCCAAGCUUGAUGUCAUUUCCAUUGUCGGAAU
rnacentral:misc_RNA from 1 species